UAUGAGCUGAGAACAGAAGGGUGACAAUGACAAGCCCAACAAUAAUGAUCUAUAAUUAUUGAGCAUUUAAUUAUAUUCUAGUCAUUUACAUACAUUAAUUCACUAUGUCCUGGGAUUCAUGCUCCCAACGCCUUGCUUUAAAAACUCUCUGCUCUUGUGGUUAAGUUCUAUGAAGAAUUGGAGAAAACCAUUUCAGAAAAAGGAGUGGCAGUUGGAAAGUCUCUAAGCCAGUAUGAAGCCAGGAGUAACAACACCAAAUCCGAGUUUCAUCUACAGCCACUAUGGGGCCAUUUAUGUCUGUAGAGAACCUGAGGCAAAGACUUCAUGGCCCUGACCUCCUGGAAUGCCACCAUAAUGGAGCAAGGACCACGGAUGUAUAUGGAGGGUUUGGAGUGUGGUUUACAGAUCAAAUAAGAAAGAAGGAGGCAGAUCGUGGGAAAUGAGGCUCCCACUCACUAGGGGUAACCUGACUAUUGGCUGAAAGACGAUACAGUAUAAAAAGUUGACAUUAGA